rnacentral:rRNA from 1 species
UACGUAGGGGGCUAGCGUUGUCCGGAAUCAUUGGGCGUAAAGAGCGCGUAGGCGGCUAGAUAAGUCCGGUGUGAAAGUCACAGGCUCAACCUGUGAAUGCCGCUGGAAACUGUCUGGCUAGAGUCCGGAAGGGGCGAGUGGAAUUCCUGGUGUAGCGGUGAAAUGCGCAGAUAUCAGGAGGAACACCAAUGGCGAAGGCAGCUCGCUGGGACGGUACUGACGCUGAGACGCGAAAGCCAGGGGAGCAAACGGG